UGAGUAACACGUAGGUAAUGUGCCUUUGGGUGGGAAUAACUUAGGGAAACUUAAGCUAAUACCGCAUAAUGCAGCGGCUCCUUAAUGGAGACAGUUGUUAAAGAUUUAUCGCCUAAAUAGCAGCCUGCGGCAGAUUAGCUAGUUGGUAAGGUAAUGGCUUACCAAGGCUACGAUCUGUAUCCGACCUGAGAGGGUGGUCGGACACACUGACACUGAAUAACGGGUCAG
rnacentral:rRNA from 1 species